UGCUUUUUACAGAUCCAGACUAACACGGCUACCCCUCUGAUACUUAACAUUUGAUGAGUAUGAUUUUCAAACUGUAAUAACCAUUAGUUUGUUCAUACCAGGGCAGUAAAUGUUUUCUCUGGUGCUUCUUUUACAUAAUUCCAUAACCAUAUGUUCUUCAAUAAGGUUCUUUCCCCAGUCUGCAUGAGAUCACUCAUUUUUCUCCUGAAAAUUACAUCACUAACAGCAGCUACUGCAUUACAGACAAAUCGGCGAAGAAGGGAUGAGCCAUUUCUCUUUGCCUCUAGUCAUGCCUCAAGUAUCAUCCUGUUCAGAACAUGUUUUGCAGCCACACAAGUUUCUUGCAUCUACCAGUAGAGACUUGAAGCAUCAGUGAUACCAUCAACUACUCCUAACACAGACUACAAAAUUCUACCUGAACACUCACCUGGGCUGCUGCUUCACAUGGGGUGGAAUCCAGGAACUUUUUAGAUGCUUUGUGUCCCUAUGCCAAAGGACAGAGCAUUAAUUUAUGUGGGAUACUACAUUUAAAGAACAACAAUUACAGGACAUUAAUAUUGAUCAAGAAAGUAACAAGACGGAACAAAAUAGAUCACAUCUUUCUUCAGAAGACGUGGGAAAAAGACUUGCAAGAGACUGUUCAAGAUGGAAGUUCAUGCUAUGUGCCACCAAGGCUACAUCAUAGCCAUGUGACUCCGCUGCUGCUGCUGCAUCUUUGAAAUAUCCCUUCUGACUAGGUAAAAUUGAUCUUAAAUUUGCAGAAUGGCUGCAUUUUGAAUUGUGCCGUCUUUGUUUUAUCCCACCAUUAAAAGUUAUAGAAAAGAUUUUACCU